rnacentral:misc_RNA from 1 species
CUUUCUAAGGAAUUAAUCGGAAACCUACACAUUGUCGAAACAGUGUUCAGUUUUGAGAGGUUUACUUCUCAAGAUGAUUUAUCAUCGCUUGUUGGGCCUAUAGCUCAGUUGGUUAGAGCGCACGCCUGAUAAGCGUGAGGUCGGUGGUUCGAGUCCACUUAGGCCCAUCAUGGGGAAUUAGCUCAGCUGGGAGAGCACCUGCUUUGCAAGCAGGAGGUCAUCGGUUCGAUCCCGAUAUUCUCCAUUGCUAGCCGCGAGGUUAGCGAGUUUGUACUUUGAAAACUAAAUAAUAUCAAUUUCUAAUAAAAUCAAGAAAACCGAGAACACCGCGUUAUUUGAGUUUUUAACGAAUUAUAAUCGCAUACUCAACUAACUUGACUGAUCUACGAUCAGUAAGGUUAAGUUAAUAA